ACAGUCCAUAUCAUGCACCACUGUUCCAAUGACAGACCCUAUGCGCUUAGAGCCUUUCUUACAUUCCACCACAUGCUCAAAAUCAGGCCACAUUUUGGACUGCUUCAUAUUUAGGCUAUCCCUUUCAUAAGAAAUGUUUUGUUUUUCCAGAAGUUUCUGAUUAUGUUUCUUUUUUCUUGUUGAUAGAAGAAACAUUUGCCUUCUACAUCAUAUCCCUAAUAACCUCCAAAUUUCUUCCCACUCCAUUUAUUGUUUGGACUCUUUUUUUCUUUUUGAAGCCUGCUGACCUUCUGACCUGAUUGGGCAAGCUGCUUCAAUUUUGGAUCUUAAUGCUUUUGCAUGGCUCUUUGUCUUUACUGCAAUUACUAAUUGCUUUCUGUUUUGUUUGGGUGGUUUUUUUGGCUUGCUUUCUGCUUUUCAUUACAACCUUAAUUUUUUGCAGUGUCCUAAUAAUACUCUCUACUCUCUAGAAUGUCCUUCUCUCAUGUCACCUUCGGAGACCUCUUUCCUUCCACUCUAAUGAAAAGUAACUACUCUCUCAUUCUGUUGAACAAUUUCAUCCCAGGGUGGCUUUUCAUGGCUACUCUGUAUAGGAUUCACUGUUUCCUGAAUCUCAUAUCUCCUUUCUUGGUUUACUCCCUUACUUUGUUGAAAAACAUCUUCAGGAACUUCCUUCAAAAGGUUUAGUAGGCUGUAAACUUCCUUGGUCCUUGCAUCCUCAGGCCUACUUCACUUUUAUAUUGAAUAAAGGCUUUGGACCAGAUGAUCUCUAAUGCCUAUUCCAGGAGUAUAAUUCUAGUCUAUAUGUAUUUGUGGAUAACAUGCUCUUUCAAGAAGACAUUUAAAAUAGUUGCUGCUCCCCAGGAGUUUAAGAUCUACUCAGAUAGACAAAGAAUAAAGUCUCAAAACAGCAACAAAAAAUCUAUG
rnacentral:lncRNA from 10 species